CUCCUCCCACACCCCAAAAGAAGCCACACAGCUAGCCAGAGAGGGGCUGCCUCUGGAAUGCACACCAGGGCUUGUCCACACACACUCCCCGGCCCUCUGCGCCUCUUUAGGGAGGUUCCUGCUGCUGGAUCUGCUGCCUUCUUCACCUUGAGAGUGCAUUUAUGUAACAAGAAAACACCUGGGUGUUUUCACAGCUCUGCCCUCAUCAUGAGACCAUGCCCAGGCUAGUCUGCUGGAAGGAAGUCAGAGGCACACGGAAGAGAGCCACAUUCAGCCAAGGCCAUUCUAGACCAGUUGUUCCCUGUCACUUCACUAAUUGGCCACAGCACAAGGUACACGGAUGGAGCUGGAAGCCAUUAUCCUCAGCAAACUAAUGUAGGAACAGAAAACCAAAUAUUGCAUGUUCUUACUUAUAAGUGGGAGCUGAACAACGAGAACACAUGGACACAGGGAGGGAAACAACACACACUGGGGCCUGUCCAGCAGUAAGGUUGAGGCAGGGAAAGCAUUAGGAAAAAUAGCUAUGCAUGCUGGGCUGAAUACUGGGUGAUGGAUUGAUAGGUGCAGCAAACCACCAUGGCAUAUGUUUACCUUUGUAAGAAACCAGCACAUCCUGCACAUGUACCCUGGAACUUAAAAUAAAAAUUAAAAUGUUUUUUAAAAAAGUCAUGAUGUUUUCUCAGCAGCCCAGUUUACUUUUCCAGACCCCUCUGGCAUGUGUUACUCCAGAAAAAGGCCGGUGUGUGUGAA
rnacentral:lncRNA from 10 species